GUUGACAGACAUCAGCUGAGUGAGUGGCAGGUGAAGACCCCAGGACCUACGUCCGUCCAGUUCUUCAUCCUCUUUCUGCCAUAAGCUGCAGACCAAGCAUCAAGCACUCACGGAACUACAAGCAGUGCUGCCAACAUUCGACUGUGUGUCCACGCGGAACCCAGAGACACCCUCUGUUUGCCUGAAAAUGACUGACAGGAUGGAAACUGACCAGUCAUCUCCUGCUUCUGGCACCAUCAAGGACUGGUUAACUCAAAAUGCUGGUCCACAUGGGAGGAUGAACCUGGGUUCCAAGAUCAGCCAAAUGCUCUGGGCUCUGGAUCAGAACUCCGGAACUGGACAGUCAAGCUAGGGACCAUCUUAGAAAUGAGAGAAUAUGGUAAAGGAUACUUUUGGAAGAAGUGAUGUAUUUUUCCUUGCGUUUCAAGAGACGAAAUUGAGACCAGAGCAAGUUAUCAAUUCAAUCUGUACUCACGUGUAAAAACGCGCACAGAGGUCACACAUCCUGUUCACAGGCAGAUAGAUUCUGAAACCAAAAACCAGGCGGAAUAGGUAUUCCCAUUCCAAAGAAAGAGCUGUACGCAUGUUUUUAUUUGCAUUUCAAAACUCUACCAAAUGGCCACAAUCAACUACUUGGGAUUUUUCCUAAUUAGUAUUGCUCUGUGCCUCUGUCACCUUUAGCAGAAAGCUGAAAAUUUGUAACCUUCAAAAUUAGCAGCAAUGAAUGCCAGAAAGCUUUUCAAAGAACAGUCAAUGUGCCUUUGGGACCUAAUUGCUGCACCUGAAAGUGUCGUCUGAGGAUUUUUCAGUCUUCAGAGAAGUCCCCGACCCUUGGGAGAACUAGCGUUCAAACUAAAAAUUUCCCCCAAAUCAUAUACCUGAGAAAAAUGUUAGAACAGAUUUACCCAUAAAGGCAAGGAAAUAAAACGGAGAAUAAACAAACCGUAAAUCCGAUGUCUCUCCCUUCCUUAAAUACUCCAAUGGCUUCCUACUGUACUUGGAACACUAAUAAAACCUCCUUACCACGACCUUUGAGGCCCCACAUGACCUGUCCCCCAACCAUAUCUCCUG